rnacentral:rRNA from 1 species
UACAGAGGUCCCGAGCGUUGUUCGGAUUCACUGGGCGUAAAGGGUGCGUAGGUGGUUGGGUAAGUUUGAUGUGAAAGCUCAGGGCUUAACCCUGAAAUGGCAUUGAAUACUACUCAACUGGAGGUUUGGAGGGGGACUGGAAUUCUUGGUGUAGCAGUGAAAUGCGUAGAUAUCAAGAGGAACACCAGUGGCGAAGGCGAGUCCCUGGACAACACCUGACACUGAGGCACGAAAGCUAGGGGAGCAAACAGG